UCUGUCCAUGCAGCAGCCACACCUGCCAAUGAUCACUUUUGUGACUAUGCAACUGGAGUGAGAAUACUAGCUGCAGAUCACAAAAAUGACGCUGGCAGCUGUGAGGGAGAGAGAGAAAGAGGGGAGAAGGGAGGGAAGAACAGAGAGAGGAGGAGACUCGCAGCGGCAGGAAGAGGGAGGGACGGACAGAGAGGCCGAGAGAAACCGAGAUAAACCGGCAGACAGGGAAGGAGGUGGAGAAAAACAAGGGAGAAGGACAGAGAGAAAGGAAGGGAAGCGCGGAGGGAGAAAAGGAGAGAGAGGGAAUGGGUAAGGCAGAGACAGAGUGAGGAAGAGAUGGGGAGAGAGAAGAGUAAGAAAGAGGAAAGGAAAAAAUGAACGACACAAAAAGAGAGGCGGAGAGACGGACAGGGAUGAAGGAGGGGAGACGGGCAGGAGGGAGAGAGAGAUGGAGUGGGCAGCGAUCAACGCAGGACAGGACCUGGAGACGGUGAGGCCGGAGCAAACGGGAAGAGAGGAAGCAGGGGCCCCGAGAGGGAGGGGAGCCAGAAAGCUGGAGGGCCCCCUAGAGGAAGCAGAUGGAGGCGAAGGAGCCAGUCCCGCGAGCGUGAGAGGGAGGAGCGGAGCAGCAGCGGCCGGCGCGGAGCUGGCCCACGCGGGGACCGGCACAGCUGGAGCCGCAGACAGAGUUUCACACUGUUGCCCAGGCUGGCAUGAUCUCCACUCGCUGCAACCUCUGCCUCCCAGGUUCAAGUGAUUCUCCUGCCUCAGCCUCCCAAGUAGCUGGGAUUACAGGUGUCUGCCACCACACCUGGCUAAUUUUUUGUGUUUUUACAAAAAAUACAUUAUGUUGGCCAGGCUGGUCUUGAACUCCUGACUGUGUGAUAUGCCCACCUUGGCCUCCCAAAGUGGUGGGAUUACAAGUGUGAACCACCACACCCAGCCAAUAAAAGGCUUUUUAAAAAGAC